UUAAUAAAAUCUCAGUUAUUUAUUUAUUCUUUAUGUUUAUGAUGUAUUGUAUUCCUAUUUAUAUUUAUGUUUUUAAAGUUUUUAACAUAUUUGAAAAUGUUUAAUCUAAAAGUACCUUAGUCAUAUUUUCUUGUAACUAUCAUGUUGCUAUCAAUAGACUUUUUCUGGCCUGGUUAGCUUGUCUUGUUGGAGAUUGAUUGAAGCUUUGCAGGGGCAACGAGAUUUCGUUUUGUUUGUUCCAUUUUCUUGUGUUCCUUUGCAAGUGUGCCAGAAGAUUAUCUUGGGGUUCUUGACCAACCUGCUGCAGACGGAGGUGGCUCUUGGGGUUCUCGGCUCCAACGGCGGUGCUGUAGCAAAUGGUGGCAGUAGGUAUUUUUUUUUUUAUUUCUUUGAUAAAUAAUGGUUUUUUCAUUAAAUAUAUAAAUGUUCUUUAAAAUACAUUUAUUUGUUGAGACAGGGCGGCUGGUGGGUGCACUGGUGAAAGCUGGGUCAUGGUGGCUUGUGGAGGCAACACUUUUCUCAAUAAGCACUUUUGCUGAUGGCAGACGAAAGGUGGGACCCAAAUGACCCAUCUGAUUAAAAUGGGACUUUAUAGGCUGCAAAUACCAGUGAUGAGCCUGCUGAUCAGGUUCCAACACUCCAAAACGAUGAAGAUGAUGAAAAAGAUGACAAAGAUGUUGGAUGCGUACGGUAAUCAUGUUAUGGAAGGCUAUGAAGUUCGGGUGGAUGUACAGGGAUUUCAGAUGCUAGAUCAACUAGGCCCCAGGCG